AUGUAUUUGGGAAAGUGGACUCUUGAGCAGCUUUUCUAUCUUCUGUCACGAAUGCCAUGGCUUCCAUUGAAAGAAGUGGAGAAAUUUCCUUUAAGAUGCUUUGGCACUGGGAGAAAUCGCUGUUUGGGUGGCUAUGUUCAUAUAGCUUUUGUAACAGCAGGGGAAUCCCAUUCCACUUUGCUUGUUUAUCUCUUUCCUUCAACAAGGCCUCUGUGAUCUGCGCCCCACGCGUGAGGCCGCGGCCGCUGAGCUGCCCGUGGCGGAGCUGCGCCAGGAUGUUGGUGGGAGCUCCGCGCCGCCGGCGGCCGCCGGGCCCAGGGCCUACCGCCGCCAUGGCCGCUGCCCCGCUCGGCCCG
rnacentral:lncRNA from 1 species